GUUGCUUUCACAUGCAAGUCGUACGAGAGUUUUUAAUUCAAGUGGCGGACGGGUGAGUAACACGUAAGAAUUUGCCUCUAGGAGGGGGACAACAACUGGAAACGGUUGCUAAUACCCCAUAUGCUUCCGAGUGAAAUGGAAUUUUCCGCCUAGAGAGAAGCUUGCGGCUGAUUAGCUUGUUGGUAAGGUAAUGGCUUACCAAGGCGACGAUCAGUAUCUGGUUUGAGAGGACGAUCAGACACACUGGAACUGAGACACGGUCCAGACUCCUACGGGAGGCAGCAGUGGGGAAUUUUCCGCAAUGGGCGAAAGCCUGACGGAGCAAUACCGCGUGAGGGAUGACGGCCUAUGGGUUGUAAACCUCUUUUUUCAGGGAGGAAUAAAAUGACGUGUACCUGAAGAAUAAGCAUCGGCUAACUCCGUGCCAGCAGCCGCGGUAAGACGGAGGAUGCAAGUGUUAUCCGGAAUCACUGGGCGUAAAGCGUCUGUAGGUGGUUUGAUAAGUCAACUGUUAAAUCUUGAGGCUCAACCUCAAAAUCGCAGUCGAAACUAUUAGACUAGAGUAUAGUAGGGGUAAAGGGAAUUUCCAGUGGAGCGGUGAAAUGCGUAGAGAUUGGAAAGAACACCGAUGGCGAAGGCACUUUACUGGGCUAUUACUGACACUCAGAGACGAAAGCUAGGGUAGCAAAUGGGAUUAGAUACCCCAGUAGUCCUAGCCGUAAACAAUGGAUACUAGAUGUUGAACAGAUCGACCUGUGCAGUAUUAAAGCUAACGCGUUAAGUAU
rnacentral:rRNA from 1 species